GCCAGUAUGGUGUAGUGCUUUGAACAUUGGACUAUGAUUCUGGAGAUCAGGGUUCAAUUCCUUGCUCUGCCA